GAAAAGAAUUAGAAAUACAAAACUG
rnacentral:tRNA from 1 species